GAUGAACGCUGACAGAAUGCUUAACACAUGCAAGUCGAUGGGGAAGUGGUGCUUGCACCCUGGUAACCAUGGCGGACGGGUGAGUAACGCGUAAGGAACUUGCCUGCGGGACUGGGAUAACAGCAGGAAACUGCUGAUAAUACCGGAUAAGGUCAUUAAGCUGCAUAGCUUAGUGAUGAAAGGAGACGCCUGCGGAGAGCCUUGCGUCCUAUUAGCUAGUUGGAGGGGUAACGGCCCACCAAGGCGAAGAUAGGUAGCCGGCCUGAGAGGGUGGACGGCCACAAGGGGACUGAGAUACGGCCCUUACUCCUACGGGAGGCAGCAGUGGGGAAUAUUGGACAAUGGGGGCAACCCUGAUCCAGCAAUUCUGUGUGCACGAAGACGGUUUUCGGAUUGUAAAGUGCUUUCAGCAGGGAAGAAGGAAGUGACGGUACCUGCAGAAGAAGCGACGGCGAAAUACGU
rnacentral:rRNA from 1 species